rfam:Cryptosporidium ubiquitum isolate 39726 contig_7, whole genome shotgun sequence.
GCGUAGAUGCCCGAGUCGGUCUAAGGGGCCAGACUUAAGAUCUGGUGUACACAUGUACUCCAGGGUUCGAAUCCCUGUCUACGCA